rnacentral:lncRNA from 1 species
AUUACUCUUAGUAAGAUUUAAGAAUUCAGUUCUACAAUGAAAAUCAGGGAUUGUCCAGGCAGCACGAGCUGGGCUCCUCCCCAUUGAUGGUUGACAUGAGGCAGUUGGGCCAUCACCGCAUCUUGAGGCAGAGUCUCAUGGCCAAGGACAGUCAGACAGGGCACUAAGAUGGCUGCAGGGCUACUGAGAGAGUUCAAACUGCUGUUCUGACAUCUAGUUCCUCUUGCAAACACCAACUAAAGGAGUUUUCAAAGCAGGAUUUGAGGAGGCAAGACAAGCUUCCUGCUAAUGAAUCAGCCUGAAGCACAGAGGCUGAAUCAAUCACAAUCAAACCAUCCCAGCCACCUGCAGAAAAUGGAUAACUGCUGAAGAUUCUCUUUAUAUCCUUCAGAUUUAAACUGAGACCCUAAUUUGAUACCACAGUAAC